rnacentral:misc_RNA from 1 species
GAUGAAGAACGUAGCGAAAUGCGAUACGUAAUGUGAAUUGCAGAAUUCAGUGAAUCAUCGAGUCUUUGAACGCACAUUGCGCCCCCUGGUAUUCCGGGGGGCAUGCCUGUCCGAGCGUCAUUGCUGCCCUCAAGCACGGCUUGGGUGUUGGGCCUCCGUCCUCCUCCCGGGGGACGGGCCCGAAAGGCAGCGGCGGCACCGCGUCCGGUCCUCGAGCGUAUGGGGCUUCGUCACCCGCUCUUGUAGGCCCGGCCGGCGCUUGCCGACACAUCAAUCUUUUUUCCAGGUUGACCUCGGAUCAGGUAGGGAUACCCGCUGAACUUAAGCAUAUCAAUAAGCGGAGGA